rnacentral:sRNA from 1 species
GCUGGGUGUGGUGGUGCACACCUGUAAUCCCGGCUACUCAGGAAGCUGAGACAAGAGGAUUGUGAGUUCAAAGCCAGCCUCAG